UAUGAGGCGGGCUGGACCUCUCGGGGUUACAGCCUUGCUGAAUUAUUCACCCUUGUCUUUUGCGUACUUCUUGUUUCCUUGGUGGGUUCGCCCACCACUAGGACAAACAUAAACCUUUUGUAAUUGCAAUCAGCGUCAGUAACAAAUUAAUAAUUACAACUUUCAACAACGGAUCUCUUGGUUCUGGCAUCGAUGAAGAACGCAGCGAAAUGCGAUAAGUAGUGUGAAUUGCAGAAUUCAGUGAAUCAUCGAAUCUUUGAACGCACAUUGCGCCCUUUGGUAUUCCAAAGGGCAUGCCUGUUCGAGCGUCAUUUGUACCCUCAAGCUUUGCUUGGUGUUGGGCGUCUUGUCUCUAGCUUUGCUGGAGACUCGCCUUAAAGUAAUUGGCAGCCGGCCUACUGGUUUCGGAGCGCAGCACAAGUCGCACUCUCUAUCAGCAAAGGUCUAGCAUCCAUUAAGCCUUUUUUUCAACUUUUGACCUCGGAUCAGGUAGGGAUACCCGCUGAACUUAAGCAUAUCAAAA
rnacentral:rRNA from 1 species